rnacentral:rRNA from 1 species
UACGUAGGGUGCAGGCGUUAAUCGGAAUUACUGGGCGUAAAGAGCGCGCAGGCGGCUGGGCAAGUCCGAUGUGAAAGCUUCCGGCUUAACUGGAAAAUUGCAUCGGAAACUGCUCGGCUUGAAGGUGGGAGAGGGUAGCGGAAUUCCCGGUGUAGUGGUGAAAUGCGUAGAUAUCGGGAGGAACACCAGUGGCGAAGGCGGCUACCUGGCCCACUCUUGACGCUGAGGCGCGAAAGCUAGGGGAGCAAACGGG